GACGAACGCUGGCGGCGUGCUUAACACAUGCAAGUCGAACGGAAAGGCCCCUUUGGGGGUCCUCGAGUGGCGAACGGGUGAGUAACACGUGAGUAACCUGCCCUUGACUUCGGGAUAACUUCAGGAAACUGGGGCUAAUACCGGAUAGGAAUCCUUGCUGCAUGGUGGGGGUUGGAAAGCUUCGGCGGUUUUGGAUGGAAUCGCGGCUUAUCAGCUUGUUGGUGGGGUAGUGGCUUACCAAGGCUUUGACGGGUAGCCGGCCUGAGAGGGCGACCGGCCACAUUGGGACUGAGAUACGGCCCAGACUCCUACGGGAGGCAGCAGUGGGGAAUAUUGCACAAUGGGCGGAAGCCUGAUGCAGCAACGCCGCGUGCGGGAUGACGGCCUUCGGGUUGUAAACCGCUUUCAGCAGGGGCGAAGCUUGUGGUGACGGUACCUGCAGAAGAAGCACCGGCUAACUACGU
rnacentral:rRNA from 1 species